AUGGCUGCAGGUGAUUACAUGAGAGUAAAGGUUCGGCUGGACAUUACUAAACCCCUGAUGAGAGGGAUCAUUGCCUUUGAUGAUCUGGAGGACGGAGGGGAUGAUAGCAGCGACAAGGAUGUUUCCGGAGGGGGUGAAGGAAAGGAGGAACAAGGGAGAAGAGAAAUUAUCUUUAGGUACGAAUAUCUGCCUGACUUUUGCUAUCUUUGUGGGAUUAUCGGCCACAACGAUAGAGUUUGCCCCAAUAAACAACAGUGUAGUUUGAACUUGGAGUUUGGUCCCUGGCUUAAAGCUGAGUUAUGGAGGAGAUACCCAAAUGGAGAUGAUAGGAGUAAGGAUCCUAGUGAUAAAUGGGGAUUUGGUAGAAGCAGUAGUGGAGACAGUAGGGGAAGUGAUACACUAUCCUGGAGAAAGGAACCAAAUAAUAAUGGUAAAAUGGAAGAUUCUGGGAAGGGAGAGGACAAGAUGGUCUCAAGCCCACUUAAGUUGCAGUCAAACGAUAAGGAGCUAAGAGCUGACAGGAGAAAACUCGACUUAGAGGUGGAGGCAGGAGAUAAUAAUGCAGAUAAAAGCUACAACUCACUCCAGGCUACUCCAAUGGCACUGGAUUGGAAAUCUGGUAAGGAGCAGGAAAGUGAGCCUUCUCAGAGUGUUCAAAAGGAUGAUUCUGAAUAUAGAAAGGGAGGUGUAGGGGCUGAAUUAGACGCUUUAGAAAAAGAGAAAGAUAUGAAAGGAAAGGAUAAGCUUGAAGAAAAGAGGAACUUGGAUGAGGUGAAGGUGAUUGUUAAUACUUCACCCAAAUAG
rnacentral:rRNA from 1 species